rnacentral:rRNA from 1 species
UACUAGAGUAGCACUCGCAUAUCAAUAAGCGGAGGAAAAGAAACUAACAAGGAUUCCCCUAGUAACGGCGAGUGAAGCGGGAAGAGCUCAAAUUUGAAAUCUUAAAGGGUUUCCCUUUACGAAUUGUAGUUUAAAGAAGUGUUUUCUGUUGAGGUUUUGGUAAAAGUUCUUUGGAGUAGGACAUCAUAGAGGGUGAGAAUCCCGUAUUUGACCUUUACUUUCAACUUUGUGAUACACUUUCAAAGAGUCGGAUUGUUUGGGAAUGCAGUCCAAAAUGGGUGGUAAAUUUCAUCUAAAGCUAAAUAUUGGCGAGAGACCGAUAGCGAACAAGUACCGUGAGGGAAGGAUGAAAAGAACUUUGAAAAGAGAGUUAAACAGUACGUGAAAUUGUCAAAAGGGAAGCGUUUGACACCAGUGUUGUUUUUCUGAAAAUCAAUUAAAGAACUGUUUAUGCUAAGUUGUUUAGACUUUAUCAGCUAACUGUUUAGUUUUGAGCUUUUCUUUAAUGCACUUUUCAGUUAACAAGUCAACAUCAAUUUCUUUUGCUGUAAAAAAGCUUGAGGAAGGUGGCUUGAGAUUCGUCUUAAGUGUUUAUAGCCUCUUGCCUAUGCAGUCGGAGAGAUUGAGGUCUGCAGCGUAGAUCCUUCGGGGCUAAAUGCAUUUGUGCUAAGUUAUAGCAUUUUAUAGACAACUUGUUGACUAUGAUUUGUCUUGUAGCUUACUCGCUUAUGUUAUUUUACCUACGCUUAGGAUGUUGAUAUCGCGCUCUCACUG